CCUACGGGAGGCAGCAGUGAGGAAUAUUGGUCAAUGGACGCAAGUCUGAACCAGCCAUGCCGCGUGCAGGAAGACGGCUCUAUGAGUUGUAAACUGCUUUUGUACGAGGGUAAACGCAGAUACGCGUAUCUGUCUGAAAGUAUCGUACGAAUAAGGAUCGGCUAACUCCGUUCCAGCGGCCGCGGUAAUACGGAGGAUUCAAGCGUUAUCCGGAUUUAUUGGGUUUAAAGGGUGCGUAGGCGGUCGGAUAAGUUAGAGGUUAAAUCCCGAGGCUCAACUUCGGAAUUGCCUCUGAGACUGUUCGGCUAGAGAGUAGUUGCGGUAGGCGGAAUGUAUGGUGUAGCGGUGAAAUGCUUAGAGAUCAUACAGAACACCGAUUGCGAAGGCAGCUUACCAAGCUACUUCUGACGUUGAGGCACGAAAGCGUGGGGAGCAAACAGGAUUAGAUACCCCAGUAGUC
rnacentral:rRNA from 1 species